CGACCCCAGGUCAGGCGGGGUUACCCGCUGAAUUUAAGCAUAUCAAUAAGCGGAGGAAAAGAAACUUACGAGGAUUCCCCUAGUAACGGCGAGCGAACCGGGAACAGCCCAGCUUGAGAAUCGGGCGCCGUCGGCGUUCGAAUUGUAGUCUGGAGAAGCGUCA
rnacentral:rRNA from 1 species